rnacentral:rRNA from 1 species
AUAAACGCUGGCGGCGCACAUAAGACCUGCAAGUUGCACGGACUUAAUCGAAAUAUUUAUAUUUUGAAGCGGUUAGUGGCGGACUGGUGAGUAACGCGUAAGGAACCUGCCUAUUAGAGGGGAAUAACAGUGAGAAAUCAUUGCUAAUACCGCAUAUGCCAUAGAUAUCACAUGAUAACAGUGGGAAAGGAGCAAUCCGCUAAUAGAUGGCCUUGCGUCUGAUUAGAUAGUUGGUGGGGUAACGGCCUACCAAGUCGACGAUCAGUAGCCGGACUGAGAGGUUGAACGGCCACAUUGGGACUGAGAUACGGCCCAGACUCCUACGGGAGGCAGCAGUCGGGAAUAUUGCGCAAUGGAGGAAACUCUGACGCAGUGACGCCGCGUAUAGGAAGAAGGUUUUCGGAUUGUAAACUAUUGUCGUUAGGGAAGAGAAAGGACAGUACCUAAGGAGGAAGCUCCGGCUAACUACGUG